GGUGAAGAGUGGAUGGCCUGGGAGCAGCACUGCCAUGUGGAAUAGGAAACCAGAGAUGGCCUCAUAGGGGAAGAGACUUUCACACAGAGGAAACAGUACAUGCAGAGGCCACAGGCCAGAGCCUGGCACAUCAGAGUGAGUGCAGGAGGUGACUGGAGAAAAGAAGAGGGGGCAGAGGUGAAAGGUGAAGCCCUGGAGGCCACUGUUGUGGUUUAUGUUUCACUUCGACCUGGAGGCCAGUGUUGUGGUUUAUGUUUCACUUCGACCUGGAGGCCAGUGUUGUGGUUUAUGUUUCACUUCGACCUGGAGGCCAGUGGAGGAUUUGAGCCCUGGGUCCCGUGCUUUGCCUUUUGCAUUCAUAAUAAUAGCAGUGUUGUAGAGCCCUCAAUAUGAGCCAGACCUAAGUUCAAACUCUUUACCUACAUCAACAACUCUGAGGGGCAAAAACUAGUAUCAGGCCCAUUUUCCGUCCACAAGAGUCUAAGUGACAUUCUCACAGAAGCACAGUUACUCAGAAGCGGAAGCAAAAGUUGAACUUCUAAGUCAAGCUCUAGACCAUGCUGGGGUCCACAUCCCUGCACACUACCAGGGCCCCGUGUGGCUGCAGCAGGGAUGCCAGGAACAGGAAAUCUGGCUGCUGCAUCAAACCCGCCUGGAGGCAGCAGGGCUGGGACCAGGGUGCUGAGAGGCCGUGCUGGGCACAGGGAGAUUCUGGGCAUCUUUUAUAAACAAAGCCAAAAAGGCAAUCAAGGAUAACACCAAAUGUCUUAGCCUGAACAACUGGAAGGAGAGCAUCACCACUGGCAGGAUGCAGAAGGCCAGGGAAUGAGGAUUGUUUAAUGCCCGUUGAGGACAGAAAUCAGAUCUGUUUUGUCCAUAAUGCCAAUCAAAGCUGAGUUCUCCGAAGUGGACAGAGAAGUGAGUGACUCUCAGAAAGUCUCUCUGAUCUAUUUUUGGCUGAGUGUGCUGUAAUUCACAGUAUGUCCAGACACGGGAUAUUUUUCAGCUUCAGAUAUCAUCAUGGAAGGCGCUAAGUCUCAGGCAGAGCAAUGCUUAGCUUCUUGUGUCCUCAGCACAUGCAAAGAAGUGGGUGUCAGAGCAACGUGCGCCCCCGUGCAUGUCAGCAGAGACAUUGCCAGUGCUCUGGGAGCACUUGUUCCCAAUUUAAUUAAAAACAAAAAACUCCCAAUAGCAAUUUGUCACUGUGCUUUAGGAGGCAUGGAAGCUGUGCUCCAAACUACUGUGACCUGGUUGUUUUGCAGCAAACCUGGUCUGGCUCAUUAACAACUGGAGGCAUAGUCUGUGCUUCAUGCUUCCGUUCCUCAGUUACUCCUGUGAGCCUGGGGUUGGGUGAUAUAACAAACAUGAAGGGAGACCAGUGGGAGGAAAAAUCAGGGCAGGGGCUGUCCCUGUUCUCCAGGCUGGAGCUGGCACUGGCAGCUGCUAUUGCAAACUCAACCUUACUAAUGCCAAUCGGAAAUAUGCACUCAAUCCACUGGGAAAAGCAAGUCAUGAAGAAAUCUCAUCCCCACAGCCAGCACACCCCAGGCUGAUUGGCGAAGCUGCUAAUUGCUUAACACAAGCAAUUAGCAAGGUAGAUGACACCGGAGAAAUGCAAAGCAGUUGCAGUGAGCAUUUUAAAUAUCGCCUUAACUCACUGGAGUAGCUGAGAGGUCCGGAUGAGAGCAGUAGCAUAUCAAUCACUUAGGAGCUGCAAAGACACUAGCUCUGCGUUAAUCAAAGAAUCUGUCUCUGCUGAGGGGAAAAAGCCAGGAAAACACCUGAAAAUGUGGCUUUCGGCUCCUGUGCCCUAGUUUCUUCACCAGAAACCAAAUUCCAGACUCCAUUCAAUUCCUCAUCAGUGAUCAAUAUAGGUAACAAAAUGCUGGGCUGUGUGUGGAUCUAUGAGCAGAUGCUGGAGGCACUGGUACAGACACAGCUGAGCCUGAGGGAUCAGCAGCUCCCUGGGACCUCCCUGCCUUCAUCAAGGAGAAAUGUUUAAUCACAACAGAGCAAGAUAUACAUUCUUCCUGCUGGGGGUGGAAGGAACCUGAGGGCUGUAGUUUAAGGCUUGAAGAAGUGGCAGAGACGCAGAUCACAUCUCUGCUCUUGCUGAUCCCUCUCGCUGAGGAAAACCCAACCCUUCCAGUGCCCCAAGUGCCAUGCUUGCUGGCCCCCCUCACGAGGUGCAUUCAGUGCAGUCCUAACUUCCGACCAGUAUCAGGAAGGAAUUCACCUACCUCCUCAGUGAUUGCGCUCUUCAAGGUGAACAGCCCAGAUCCUUCUAGGCUGCCCAUCCUCCAGCCCCCAGGCCGGGAAGGAAGUCAUCACUUCCCAGGAGAGUUUUGGCAGAUUGGAUUUUCCAAAGAUGGCGCCAUCAAUAUCUCUCAUCCCCCACAAUCUCCUUACACAGUGACAGGUCAUCUGUGACACCAAGAUAUCAGGGCUGUGUCCCCUCCUCUGAAUCAGAGUAGACCUCUUUGACUGCCUCAACACAGAGUACAGCAAAGUGAAGCCCUGUGACUCCUGAGACCAGAUCAUGGAAAUUCUCGGUUCUUCCUCUUUGUUCUCUUGGGACGUUACUGCUGGAACCAGACACUGUGCUGUGAGAAAGCCCAGGCAGACCUUGGAGAAGGCCCCGUGUGGAGAGAAACCAAAACCUGGGGCCCACCGCCCUUGCUGCCCUCCCCGACAACAACUGGAACCACACUUCAGCCCCAGAGUAAGACAUCUCCGAAGCAGGUCCUCUACCCUCCAGGGGUCUGCCCCAGAGGGUGCCCCAGAGAGCAAGGCAAGCUCUCUCCACCAAGCCCUGCAAUCUUCAAAUUCAUGAGCAGAAUAAAUAACCACAGUUGUGUCAAAAGACAAAAUCACAACAAAUUUAAAGAUCUUAAUUGGCUUUUAUGUGUGAUCCGUGAAUCAGGGCAGCCUCCAUCCUACAAAAUAAAAUGAAAGCUUGAAAGCUUCCACCAACCAGUAGCAGAACAGUGAGUUUUCUAA
rnacentral:lncRNA from 1 species